UUCACUAACUACUAACUUCUAACAUUUAUAUUAUUGCAUUUUAUUUUUUUGUAAUUUAUUUUAUUGUUCACUUUAUUUCAAGUAUUUUAUGUUCAUGUUUAUUGUUAUCUAACUAUAUCAUUUACAUUAUGCUAAUUUAUUUACUACCUUAUUAUCUUGUUAAAUAAAAUAGGAAUAAAAACAAAAGAAAGAGAACAAAUCACUUUUUUUUUAAAUAUUAAUAAAUGGACUUAAGGUUGCAUAACUUUCUUUGUUACAAAUCUAUUUUUAGUUGAUUUUUU
rnacentral:lncRNA from 1 species